GGACGAACGCUGGCGGCGUGCUUAACACAUGCAAGUCGAACGGAGCUUUAAGACGGAAGUCUUCGGACGGAAGGCUUAAGGCUUAGUGGCGGACGGGUGAGUAACGCGUGAGUAACCUGCCUUGGACUGGGGAAUAACACACCGAAAGGUGUGCUAAUACCGCAUAAAGUCAUGAACCGGCAUCGGUUUAUGACCAAAGGAGCAAUCCGGUCUUAGAUGGGCUCGCGUCUGAUUAGCUAGUUGGUGGGGUAACGGCUCACCAAGGCGACGAUCAGUAGCCGGACUGAGAGGUUGAACGGCCACAUUGGGACUGAGACACGGCCCAGACUCCUACGGGAGGCAGCAGUGGGGAAUAUUGGGCAAUGGGCGCAAGCCUGACCCAGCAACGCCGCGUGAAGGAAGAAGGCCUUCGGGUUGUAAACUUCUUUGACGAGGGACGAUAAUGACGGUACCUCGAAAACAAGCCACGGCUAACUACGUG
rnacentral:rRNA from 1 species